UUUAAAUUGAGAGUUUGAUCCUGGCUCAGGAUGAACGCUGGCGGCGUGCUUAACACAUGCAAGUCGAGCGAUGAAGUUUCCUUCGGGAAACGGAUUAGCGGCGGACGGGUGAGUAACACGUGGGUAACUUGCCUCAUAGAGUGGAAUAGCCUUCCGAAAGGAAGAUUAAUACCGCAUAACGUUGGAAGAUGGCAUCAUCAUUCAACCAAAGGAG
rnacentral:rRNA from 1 species